UACGGAGGGUGCAAACGUUGCUCGGAAUCACUGGGCGUAAAGCGCACGUAGGCGGCUCGAAAAGUCGGAUGUGAAAGCCCUGGGCUCAACCUAGGAAGUGCAUUCGAAACUGCCGAGCUUGAGUACGGGAGAGGGUUGCGGAAUUCCCGGUGUAGAGGUGAAAUUCGUAGAUAUCGGGAGGAACACCAGUGGCGAAGGCGGCAGGCUGGACCGAUACUGACGCUGAGGUGCGAAAGCGUGGGGAGCAAACAGG
rnacentral:rRNA from 1 species